rnacentral:tRNA from 1 species
GGCACCGUGUCCGAGUGAUCCAAGGAGUGUGACUCAAGUUCUUAUCUGUGUAUGCAGGCAGGGGUUCGAAUCCCCUCGGUGUCA